GCGAACGCUGGCGGCAGGCCUAACACAUGCAAGUCGAACGGACCCUUCGGGGUUAGUGGCGGACGGGUGAGUAACACGUGGGAACGUGCCUUUAGGUUCGGAAUAGCUCCUGGAAACGGGUGGUAAUGCCGAAUGUGCCCUUCGGGGGAAAGAUUUAUCGCCUUUAGAGCGGCCCGCGUCUGAUUAGCUAGUUGGUGGGGUAAUGGCCCACCAAGGCUACGAUCAGUAGCUGGUCUGAGAGGAUGACCAGCCACAUUGGGACUGAGACACGGCCCAAACUCCUACGGGAGGCAGCAGUGGGGAAUCUUGCGCAAUGGGCGAAAGCCUGACGCAGCCAUGCCGCGUGUAUGAUGAAGGUCUUAGGAUUGUAAAAUACUUUCACCGGUGAAGAUAAUGACUGUAGCCGGAGAAGAAGCCCCGGCUAACUUCGU
rnacentral:rRNA from 1 species